rnacentral:rRNA from 1 species
GAUAAAGAUUCUUGGUCUGGCUUCUGGUCAGUACUGGGAAGACUGAAUCUUUUUUCUGGAGAGUCAAGGUGCACUUUAUUGGGUGCCUUGAGGAACCAGGACGAUUACCUUGAGAAAAAUAGAGUGUUUAAAGCAGGCCAAUUGCUUGAAUACAUUAGCAUGGAAUAAUAAAAUAGGACGUUGGUUCUAUUUUGUUGGUUUUAAGGACCAAAGUC